AGGUUCCAUGGGAGGGUUAAGAGUUUCAAAGCAAAUAACAUCUUGGAAGCAGUCUUCCAAGCCCAACCUACUGAGCACUUGAGCUGCAUGUGCUUCAUCUGCAUUCGUGAAGAUCUGCAGCCAGAAAAUAACAGAGACGAAUUGGGCUCUUAUUUGGACGCGGCCCGCUCGGACCUUUGUAGAUCAAGUGGAAAAAAGGAUCCAACAGAAAAGGUAAAUCCAGGCCUAAGUAGAGUUCGGAUCAAAGUCCAGUUUGUUGAUAGCCUGAAUUAUAAAUCAAAUCAAACUUAAAGCUCGUGACUAAAUGUUUCCACGGCCUAUUGGGCCGCCUUAUAAAGCGAUCCAAUUAUUUAAGAUAGUCAUGUUGCUAUAAUAGCAUAAGACAUCUCAAGACUCAAGUUUUCACAACCUUUGUUAUUUUGUAAAUUCUAUCAAGAGAAGUUAAUUCAUUAA